UGAAACGAUAACGAUAAGCAUAUGUACAAAUCGAUAAUCGAUAAGUAAUUAUCGAUAAAGGUCAAAAUCGAAUCAAUAAAUCGAAUGCACAUCCCUAGACUGUAGACAUUUGUAAAAUGAGUAAUUACAUAUUUGUGUAGAUUAAUAUAACAUACAAAAUGUACAUAUAUUCCGCUACUAUUUUGAAAGCGGUUAUACAAUAUCAUUUUCCCUAAUCUAUACCCUUUCCUUUACCCUAAGUCUCUUAUCCUAUUAUUUCCUCUACCACAUUUAAUGAAUGAUCACAUUUA
rnacentral:lncRNA from 1 species